CUCCAGAAUUAAUCUUGACAAAAUUGUGGUAAAAAAUUGAUUAAAGUAUAAAAUGACUCUGCUUGCUUUCUCUUUCUUAUUUUAUUCCACUUUCCAGGUUGAACAAAAAAGCCUCAUAUACAAAUCCCCAAUUCACAUAGGAACUGGGAAUGCGAGUAACGUCUUCACUUCUGUGAGCCUGUUAUUAGGACGCCACGCCUGGAUCCACGUCUUUGAUGUGUCCACUGAAGAGCUGCAACCAGUCAUUGUGCUCUUGCUGUUCAUUUGGAAUUGACCCUUUCAAUCCAGGAGUCCGUAGGACCCAAGGGCUGGAGGUGGGAGCUAUGCUUAGAGGGAGCUGGAGCCAUUCUGGGCUGCGUGGACCUCAGUCCUGGAUCCGCGAUUGUAGCUGGUCAACACAUCGGGGCUGGACCCACGGUUCUGGCGUCUGCAGUGGGCUUAUCUGGAAUACAAAAUAACAGCUGUAGAAUAAGUACGUUGAUUAAUACUGACUCACAGAAACUCAGUUUUGAAGCCUUUAUUGUAUUUCUGAAGACAUGAAGAGUGCUGAAUCCCAUACCUGAAUUCCUUGGAGCAAAGGACGUUUUAGAAUUCUAAACUUUCAGGCUUCACAAAGGCAGCGCUGAGCCUGUGUUUUAUAACAAGUUGUAUAGAAAGUGUCUGGGCAGUGCUCAGGAAUGAAAUACAGUUGGUCCUCAUUAUUUGCAGAUUUGAUAUUUCUAAAUUUCCUACCUGAUAAAAUGUAUUUGUAACCACAAAAUUAACACUCACAUUAUGUUCACAGUUGUUCACAGACAUACGCAGAGCAUCAGAAAACUAAAAUACAUUGUGCACCACCUGCUGUGCUCGCAUUCCCAGCCAAGGCUAAGCCAGGCGACCUAUGCCUUCUUGUUUCAUCUCGUGCUGUGAACAGGUUUCCUUUAUAAUACCUAUUAAGAGCACUUUUUAGAUUUUUAUUUAUUUGGUUUUUAUUAUUAUUAUUUUAUAUACUUUUUGAGACGGAGCCUUGCUCUAUCACCCAGGCUGGAGUACAAUAGAUUUCAGCUCACUGCAACCUCCUCCUCCAGGUUUAAGGGUUUCUCCUGCAUCAGCCUCCCACGUAGCUGGGAUUACAGGUGCCUGCCACCACGCCUGGCUAAUUUUUAUGUUUUUAGUAGAGAUGGGGUUUCACCAUAUUGGUCAGGCUGGUCUCAAACUACUGACCUCAAAUGAUCCACCCGCCUCGGCCUUCCAAAGUGCUGGGAUUACAGGUGUGAGCCACCACACCCAACCGCAAGAGCCAUAUUUUUAAAAUUCUGCAUUUCUGUGCUUUGUUGAUGCUGAUCCUGUUUAGGAUGGCCCAGAGAUAGUGAAGAUGUGCUGUCUCCUGUCUGCGUCUCUGACCACAGAGGCCAUGAUGUGCCUUAUGGAGAAAUACAUGAGUUACAGAAGCUUCACUCUGGCUCAUAUUCCAGUACUGCUGGCAGUGAGUUCAAUGUUCAUGAACUAAAUGAGGUGUCUUCAAACAGAAACACACAUAAAAUGGGGCUAUGCAUUGAUUUCUUGAUGAAAAUGUUGAGACCCGAGGUUUUCAGGAACCUAACCUUGUAUUUCCCCUAGGAGCGAAAGUUCACUGUUCACCAAUUCAGUAUUCACAGAGACUUUAUUGAACAGAAUUACCAAGAAUAAACAGAAUUAGCUGUAUAUGGAGAUCUGCUCU
rnacentral:lncRNA from 13 species